UCUCACGCACUGGGAAGAAAAAAAAAACAAGAAAAAAAAGGAAAAAGUAUAAUUCUUUUAAAAUAAAAAUAAUAUUUAAAUAAUUGUGUGGGAGACGGCUGUUCAGCACAGAGGCAAUGAAACAAUGACAUGUGUAUGCAUAUACGUGGGGAGGUGACAUCGGCCAAUAAGUUGGGCAUGACGUACGGCUAAUCUUAUCCACGGAUUUUUUUAUGGUAAAUUUCACUGGGUAAUGCUAUGGGUGCAAUCAUAAUGCACCCCAAAUGCACACUUGAUUAGGUGUUGCAUUUGUUGAUUGGGUGUCAGGCUACAUCCAGUCAAUCCAAAUGUAACACCUCAUCAGUGUAUAUUGGGUGCACUAUGGUUGUACCAUAGCAUUUCCCAAUUUCACUAAUCUUUCCUGAAAUUUAAGACACGCAUAGACAUUUUUCAAUGAGUUUCAGAAAUAAUAUUGCCUUCAUUACUUUUUAUGAAAAUUCUCGUAUAAAAUUUAUUUUUGUAUAAAAAUAAUAAAUUUGCUUUUUUAUUUAAGGAUUUCAAAAUUAUUUUCUCAAUACACCCGUUAUGAUAAAUAAAUAUUUUUCUUUUUUAAAAGAAUUAAUAAAAUUUAUUUUUUAAGUAUAUUUAGAUUAUGAGUACUUAAAAAGUAAAAUAGUUACAUAAUUUAUUUUUAAAAAGUUAUUAUGGGCUCAUCACAAAAUAGUUAUCUUCAAUACAAGAAAAGUGUAAAACAGUGACGAAAUGGUCACGACGAAAGUAAAAUUCGUCACUAAAUAUGCCUAUUUUGUGAGAAAAAAUUUAUUUUAUCAGUAAUUAAGAGUCAACAAAUAUUUAAGGUGACGAAAUCUUUUUUUGUUACUAUAUAGUGUCCAAUGAGGAAAAUAUAAAUUUUGUCAUUGAAACAUUAGACAAAAAAAAAUUAGCUGAGAACUUUUUUUUUCGUCACUAAUAUUUUCCUUUCAUACUCACUAAAACCUUGAAACCAAUAGGUGACGAAAAAAACUUCACAAAGAAAAGUGAUUGCGUGAGGAAACUUAUUCGGUCACCUAAAUUAUUUAAAAAAAUAGGUGACAAAAUAUUUUCCUCACGAAAGGUAAGUGUUUGGGUGAUAAAAGUUGUUCUUUCAACCAAUGUAUUCAUUUUGUGUGAGAAAACGUGUUUUGUCACCCAAUUUAUCUGAAAUUAAUAGGUGACAAAAAAAAUUUAUCACCAAAGAAAAAUUAUUUCGUCUCCCAAUUUAAUAAUUUUUUGUGACCCAAUUUUCGGAAAUUAAUAGGUGACAAAAGAAUUAUCACCCAAAAAAAGUUAUUUUGUCUCCCAAUUUAAUAAUUUUUCGUGAGAUAAGUUUAUUUCGUCACUCAAAUUAUUUGAAACAAAUGGGUGAUGAAAGUUAUUUUAUCCUCUAAUGUAUUCAUUUUGCGUGAGAAAACAUGUUUCGUCAUCCAAUUUAUCUGAAAUCAGUAGGUGACCAAAAAAAUUCAUCACAAAAGGAAAGUUAUUUCGUGAGGAAAGUCGUUUCGUCACCUAAUUUAAUAAUUUUUCGUGAGAAACUUUAUUUCGGUUCCUCAAAUUAUUUAUUUAAAAUGAAUAGGUAGGAAUUGUUUGGGUGAGAAAAGUUGUUUUGUCACCCAAUAAAUUUAUUUUGCGUGAGAAAAUAUGUUUCGUCACAAAAUUUAUUUGAAAUCAUUAUAUGACAAAAAAAAUCAUCACAAAAGAAAAAUGAUUGGGUGAGGAAAGUUAUUUCGUUACCCAAUUUAAUAUUUUUUUGUGAAAAAUUUAUUUUGUCACCCAAAUUAUUUAAAAUGAAUAAUUGACGGAAUAUUUUCCUCACAAAAGGUAAGUGUUUGUGUGAGAAAAGUUAUUUCGUCACCUAAUGUAUUAAAAUUUGUUAGACUAGGUUGGCGGAUCUUACCAAAUACCAAAACUAUUUUACAAUUGAGGUCGUUUUGUUGUCCUUUUAUAUUAAAUUAUUCUCGUAAAAACUUGUGUUUGUGAGUUUAAAAUUAAAUGUCUUUGAUCGAGAUAUUUGGGUUAUUAUUGGUAUGAUGUUUUUAUCAGUUAAAUGUCUAUCAAUAUGCGAUCAAUUUUUUUUUGGGUACAAAUGAUGAACUCCAUAAUAUGUAAAAGAUAAACGGUUCUGAUCACAAAAAUAAAACUCAAGUGGGGGUAAUCUUGUCUAGUAUAAUCUUUAAUGUCUAUUGAGAUGCAUUAAAUUUUAUCCGAUCACGAUGACGCCGACAUCUGAUGAUCUCCGAUUUUGGUUACAAAGAUAAAAUUACCGAGAUGUGAAAUCCAAACGAUUUAGAAGAAUUGAUUUGAUAAUGACUUUAAAAAAAUAUUCGUUCAAUACAAUUGAUAACAACCUAAGUGCUGUAUUGUACCUGAAUAUGCAUUGGUCACGCAAAUGCGAUACAAUCAUGAUGAUCGAGAUCGAUGAUUUUGUUGUAGUGUUUGAUUAAUUCAUUUUCGUAAAAAUUUGGCUAGAUUGAGUUUACAAUAC
rnacentral:lncRNA from 1 species